GACGAACGCUGGCGGCGUGCUUAACACAUGCAAGUCGAACGGAAAGGCCCUGCUUUUGUGGGGUGCUCGAGUGGCGAACGGGUGAGUAACACGUGAGUAACCUGCCCUUGACUUUGGGAUAACUUCAGGAAACUGGGGCUAAUACCGGAUAGGAGCUCCUGCUGCAUGGUGGGGGUUGGAACGUUUCGGCGGUUGGGGAUGGACUCGCGGCUUAUCAGCUUGUUGGUGGGGUAGUGGCUUACCAAGGCUUUGACGGGUAGCCGGCCUGAGAGGGUGACCGGCCACAUUGGGACUGAGAUACGGACCAGACUCCUACGGGAGGCAGCAGUGGGGAAUAUUGCACAAUGGGCGGAAGCCUGAUGCAGAAACGCCGCGUGCGGGAUGACGGCCUUCGGGUUGUAAACCGCUUUCGCCUGUGACGAAGCGUGAGUGACGGUAAUGGGUAAAGAAGCACCGGCUAACUACGUG
rnacentral:rRNA from 1 species